GACGAACGCUGGCGGCGUGCCUAAUACAUGCAAGUCGAACGCACAGUUUAUACCGUAGCUUGCUACACCAUAGACUGUGAGUUGCGAACGGGUGAGUAACGCGUAGGUAACCUGCCUGGUAGCGGGGGAUAACUAUUGGAAACGAUAGCUAAUACCGCAUAAUAUUAAUUAUUGCAUGAUAAUUAAUUGAAAGGUGCAAUUGCACCACUACCAGAUGGACCUGCGUUGUAUUAGCUAGUAGGUGAGGUAACGGCUCACCUAGGCGACGAUACAUAGCCGACCUGAGAGGGUGAUCGGCCACGCUGGGACUGAGACACGGCCCAGACUCCUACGGGAGGCAGCAGUAGGGAAUCUUCGGCAAUGGACGAAAGUCUGACCGAGCAACGCCGCGUGAGUGAAGAAGGUUUUCGGAUCGUAAAGCUCUGUUGUAAGAGAAGAACGGGUGUGAGAGUGGAAAGUUCACACUGUGACGGUAGCUUACCAGAAAGAGACGGCUAACUACGUG
rnacentral:rRNA from 1 species